UUGGAGGGCAAGUCUGGUGCCAGCAGCCGCGGUAAUUCCAGCUCCAAUAGCGUAUAUUAAAGUUGUUGCAGUUAAAAAGCUCGUAGUUGAAUUUCGGGGUCAGUAGGUUGGUCAUGCCACUGGUAUGUACUGGUCUUACUGAUUCCUCCUUCCUGAUGAACUGUAAUGCCAUUAAUUUGGUGUUGCAGGGAAUCUGGACUGUUACUUUGAAAAAAUUAGAGUGUUUAAAGCAGGCUAACGCCUGAAUACAUUAGCAUGGAAUAAUGAAAUAGGACGUUCGAUCCUAUUUUGUUGGUUUCUAGGAUUGACGUAAUGAUUAAUAGGGAUAGUUGGGGGCAUUAGUAUUCAAUUGUCGGAGGUGAAAUUCUUGGAUUUAUUGAAGACUAACUACUGCGAAAGCAUUUGCCAAGGAUGUUUUCAUUAAUCAAGAACGAAAGUUAGGGGAUCGAAGACGAUCAGAUACCGUCGUAGUCUUAACCAUAAACUAUGCCGACUAGGGAUCGGAUGAUGUUAAUUUUUUAAUGACUCAUUCGGCGCCUUACGGGAAAC
rnacentral:rRNA from 1 species